rnacentral:misc_RNA from 1 species
AAAGUCGUAACAAGGUUUCCGUAGGUGAACCUGCGGAAGGAUCAUUAUUGAAUAAACUUGGUGAGUUGUCGCUGGCCUCUAGGGGCAUGUGCACACUUUCCUUUGUUUCUUCUUUCACCCACCUGUGCACAUUUUGUAGGCUUGGAUAUCUCUCGAGGAGACUCGGUCCUUGGAGGGGUUGUCAUUCGUGGCAGCCCCUCUACAUUUCCGGCCUAUGUUCUUCAUAUACACCACCGUAUGUCAUUGAAUGCAUCGAUUUGGGCCUUUGAAGGCCCAUAAACCUUUAUACAACUUUCAACAACGGAUCUCUUGGCUCUC